GCCUGGGUGGCUCAGUUGGCUUAGCACCUGACUUCGGCUCAGGUCAUGAUCUCACGGUUUGUGGGUUCGAGCCCCCUAUCGGGCU
rnacentral:tRNA from 1 species